rnacentral:rRNA from 1 species
GGGGGAACGUUAAUCGGAUUACUGGGGCGUAAGCGCACGCAGGCGGUCUGUCAAGUCGGAUGUGAAAUCCCCGGGCUCAACCUGGGAACUGCAUUCGAAACUGGCAGGCUAGAGUCUUGUAGAGGGGGGUAGAAUUCCAGGUGUAGCGGUGAAAUGCGUAGAGAUCUGGAGGAAUACCGGUGGCGAAGGCGGCCCCCUGGACAAAGACUGACGCUCAGGUGCGAAAGCGUGGGGAGCAAACAGGAUUAGAUACCCUGGUAGUCCACGCCGUAAACGAUGUCGAUUUGGAGGUUGUGCCCUUGAGGCGUGGCUUCCGGAGCUAACGCGUUAAAUCGACCGCCUGGGGAGUACGGCCGCAAGGUUAAAACUCAAAUGAAUUGACGGGGGCCCGCACAAGCGGUGGAGCAUGUGGUUUAAUUCGAUGCAACGCGAAGAACCUUACCUGGUCUUGACAUCCACAGAACUUUCCAGAGAUGGAUUGGUGCCUUCGGGAACUGUGAGACAGGUGCUGCAUGGCUGUCGUCAGCUCGUGUUGUGAAAUGUUGGGUUAAGUCCCGCAACGAGCGCAACCCUUAUCCUUUGUUGCCAGCGGUUCGGCCGGGAACUCAAAGGAGACUGCCAGUGAUAAACUGGAGGAAGGUGGGGAUGACGUCAAGUCAUCAUGGCCCUUACGACCAGGGCUACACACGUGCUACAAUGGCAUAUACAAAGAGAAGCGACCUCGCGAGAGCAAGCGGACCUCAUAAAGUAUGUCGUAGUCCGGAUUGGAGUCUGCAACUCGACUCCAUGAAGUCGGAAUCGCUAGUAAUCGUAGAUCAGAAUGCUACGGUGAAUACGUUCCCGGGCCUUGUACACACCGCCCGUCACACCAUGGGGAGUGGGUUGCAAAAGAAGUAGGUAGCUUAACCUUCCGGGAGGGCGCUUACCACUUUGUGAUUCAUGACUGGGGUGAUCAGAAAAAAACCCCCCCCAAAAAAAAAAAAAGAAGG